UACGGGGGGGGCAAGCGUUGUUCGGAAUUACUGGGCGUAAAGGGCUCGUAGGCGGCCAACUAAGUCAAACGUGAAAUCCCUCGGCUUAACCGGGGAACUGCGUCUGAUACUGGAUGGCUUGAGUUCGGGAGAGGGAUGCGGAAUUCCAGGUGUAGCGGUGAAAUGCGUAGAUAUCUGGAGGAACACCGGUGGCGAAGGCGCACACCUGGCCCGAUACUGACGCUGAGGCGCGAAAGCUAGGGGAGCAAACGGG
rnacentral:rRNA from 1 species